rnacentral:rRNA from 1 species
CGUGUAGGCGGCUUAGCAAGUCGGGCGUGAAAGCCCUCGGCUCAACCGAGGAAGUGCACCCGAAACUGCUGAGCUUGAGUGCCGGAGAGGAUGGCGGAAUUCCCCAAGUAGAGGUGAAAUUCGUAGAUAUGGGGAGGAACACCGGUGGCGAAGGCGGCCAUCUGGACGGUAACUGACGCUGAGACGCGAAAGCGUGGGGAGCAAACAGGAUUAGAUACCCUGGUAGUCCACGCCGUAAACGAUGAGAACUAGAUGUCGCGGGUGUUGACCCCUGCGGUGUCGCAGCUAACGCAUUAAGUUCUCCGCCUGGGAAGUACGGUCGCAAGAUUAAA